CUCAAUAGUUUUAAGCACAGCUGAGCUCGAUUUAAGUGGCAGUUACAUCUUAUAGAUCCUAGCCUUGCCAGUAACUUUCAGUGCUAACUGUAUAAGUGCACUCAGGUAUGUCCUGGCCAUCUCAAAAGACUCAACGUAUAGGGAAAUGUGGCAUAUUCUAAGUGCCAUAUGCUAUCUAGUAUUAUGGAUUCCACUUCACUCUAAACAAAGGACUCAACAGUAGUACAGAAGUAAUAAUGAUUUCCACACAAUGUUCAACAUAUAUAGGAGAACAUUAUUUUACUAAAUUCAAAGCCCAAGUUCCAACUAACUUUUCCAAAGCAGUUUCCAAAAUACUCUAUUCCCAAGACAGGGACAUAGGCAAAUUUCUCGAAGUAUCUGUCCUUGAUCGACAUUCUCUAUGUAUUAUGUACUAGCUCUCAAAAUUUAGUGAAAAUAAAAAUCAUCUCAGGUGUGUAUGCCCAGAUUGCAAAUCAAGUGAUUUUGAUUAAGCGUGAACAACAGGAAUUUCCAUUUUAAAUCAGCAUUCCCAUGCUGGCAGAAGACAGAACAAGAGUCACUGGCUUGAGGGCUGUUCUUUGAAUUUCCUUGCUUGGCUAGAGGAAGGCAGGUGGGGUGGACUCCAGGAACCUGAACUGGAUGCAUUCUGAGGAGCAGCAGCCUGUGGUGAGGUUUCCUCAAAUACUUGUCCUAAGCCCCUCUUUGAGAGGAUCUAAGAAUGUGUGGGAAUGGAGGAGCCAGCCGGAGUGGAAGGGAUGUUCCCGCAAGAAGGUACUGAAAUGUCAAGCAAGUAAGCGAGCACGCAAGCACAAACUGCGCCUUUUCAUCUCAGCGGUGGUGAAGGCCUCGGUCUUCCCAGCUGGAUCUCUGGACGCUUCUCCUUCCAGAGUAUAG
rnacentral:lncRNA from 1 species